UACGGAGGGGGCUAGCGUUGCUCGGAAUCACUGGGCGUAAAGCGCACGUAGGCGGAUUUCUAAGUCAGGGGUGAAAUCCUGGAGCCCAACUCCAGAACUGCCUUUGAUACUGGGAAUCUCGAGUCCGGGAGAGGUGAGUGGAACUGCGAGUGUAGAGGUAAAAUUCGUAGAUAUUCGCAAGAACACCAGUGGCGAAGGCGGCUCACUGGCCCGGUACUGACGCUGAGGUGCGAAAGCGUGGGGAGCGAACAGG
rnacentral:rRNA from 1 species